rnacentral:rRNA from 1 species
AGCAGCCGCGGUAAUUCCAGCUCCAAUAGCGUAUAUUAAAGUUGUUGCAGUUAAAAAGCUCGUAGUUGAACCUCGGGGUCUACCCAUUGGUCAGGCUUAAUUGUCUGCACUGGUGAGAUGGAUCUCUACCUUCUGAGGAACUUUCAUGCCAUUUAUUUGGUGUGAUGGGAAAUCAGGACUGUUACUUUGAAAAAAUUAGAGUGUUUAAAGCAGACUAUCGUCUGAAUACAUUAGCAUGGAAUAAUGAAAUAGGACGGACUGAUUCUAUUUCGUUGGUUUCUAGGAUCACCGUAAUGAUUAAUAGGGAUAGUUGGGGGCAUUGGUAUUCAAUUGUCAGAGGUGAAAUUCUUGGAUUUAUUGAAGACUAACUACUGCAAAAGCAUUUGCCAAGGAUGUUUUCAUUAAUCAAAGAACGAAAGUUAGGGGAUCGAAGACGAUCAGAUACCGUCGUAGUCUUAACCAUAAAUAUGCCGACUAGGGAUCGACGAAGUUAAUUUUAUAAUGACGCGUUC